rnacentral:miRNA from 1 species
GCUGACACAUCCCGGCCAAUCUCCAGCAGACCCUCCCUCCCAGACCCUCCUACUUCCUGGACAGCAUCCAUGUUGAAGGGCUGCCUUCAACAUGGAUGCUGUCCAGGAAGUAGGAGGGUCUGGGAGGGAGGGUCUGCUGGAGAUUGGCCGGGAUGUGUCAG